CUCACGCUCUAUACAUUAUGCUGUGCUGCCCAGGGCAGAGAGGGACUUCCUGCAGAUGUGCAAGGAAUUCUGCAGCUGCUUAAAUUAUUGCGUUUUCCUCUAGAUAAAAUAGCUCUUGGAAAACAUCAUCAAAAUGUAAAUCUUGGAAGUCUAGAUUAGAAAACCAAGAAGCAUAUGCAGUCUGUGUUCCCAGACAGCUGGGAGUUCGUAGGAAGACGAGGAAGAAAGAAGGGACUCAAGCAGGACGGGAACGAGCCGAAAGCAGCCCGGUGUUUCCAGUCCUCCUUGUCCCCUGCCCCAGAGGAAACGCGAAGAAAUGGAGGCUGCUUGAUGAAGACCAGUUUAGCGUGUCUGUGAACAGGAGACAAAAGCACAUCUGAGACCCUUGCUGUUGUGCUGGCACAAAGUAUCUACUUAAUGUUGGUUGUUUUCACAUCCUGACAUCUUCCAAUUGACAAAGAAGUGUUUAGCAUGCCAUGAAAUGAACAGGAGCGGAGCGGAGCAGAAGGCGGCGGAUGACGGGAGCUGCAGCUUGUCGGUUUAUUUGGCCUCCUCCCUCCAAAACGGGUCUCACUCUGCCUCCUGGUCUCUAGAUCUUUUUCUGUAGAGCUCAAGAAACAACAAAGGGAGAUGGGUAUAUUUAUUUAUUUACUUAUUUAUAGUGUAUCUAUGUGUAUCGUGUAAGUAUUUAAAACCUGACUCGAUCCAGUGCAACAAGAAUGAUGUCUCAAUUCCAGGAGGGAGCACGUUGCACAGGUUUAAGCAUGAUAGAUGGCCCGGCCUCCCUUGCUUAGUAAACUGCAGUGAGAGAAACUGAAUAACCCUGAAAUUAGAAUGGGGGUGGGAGGGGGAGGGUCACGCUGCUGUAAUAUUACUGGAACAACAUGCGGAGGAAAGUAAUUUACUCUGAAGUGACAGUCUGAAGGCAAAAAAUAAACUAACGGGGGAGUUUAGGCUCAUUAGCAGCCUGGUCUCAAUAUUUCAUUAUUAAUGAUAAUAAAAAGAAAGGAGGGAGAA